GAUGAACGCUGGCGGCGUGCCUAAUACAUGCAAGUCGAGCGAACGGACGAGAAGCUUGCUUCUCUGAUGUUAGCGGCGGACGGGUGAGUAACACGUGGAUAACCUACCUAUAAGACUGGGAUAACUUCGGGAAACCGGAGCUAAUACCGGAUAAUAUUUUGAACCGCAUGGUUCAAAAGUGAAAGACGGUCUUGCUGUCACUUAUAGAUGGAUCCGCGCUGCAUUAGCUAGUUGGUAAGGUAACGGCUUACCAAGGCAACGAUGCAUAGCCGACCUGGGGGGGGGCACGGCCCCACGGGACAUGAGAGGCGGUCAAGGCCCCUAGGGAGGGCAGAGGGGGGGAAGCUACCGAAAUGGGGGGAAGCCUGAAGAAGGAGCGGAGGGGUGAUGAAGAAGGUCUGCGGGCCGGAAAACCGUUUUAUUGGGGAAAAACACUUUUGUAGGUGACGUAGCGCGUUUGAAGGGAACCUAUAAAGAAGCCCCGGCUAAACUAGUG
rnacentral:rRNA from 1 species